UGUCCAGUAGCACCUUAGAGACCAACUAAGUUUGUUCUUGGUAUAAGAUUUCAUGUGCAUGCACACUUCUUCAGAUACCAAGAACAAACUUAGUUGCUCUCUAAGGUGCUACUGGACA
rnacentral:miRNA from 1 species